rnacentral:rRNA from 1 species
UUAGGAAUCUGCCUAUUAGUGGGGGACAACAUUCCGAAAGGAAUGCUAAUACCGCAUACGUCCUACGGGAGAAAGCAGGGGAUCUUCGGACCUUGCGCUAAUAGAUGAGCCUAAGUCGGAUUAGCUAGUUGGUGGGGUAAAGGCCUACCAAGGCGACGAUCUGUAGCGGGUCUGAGAGGAUGAUCCGCCACACUGGGACUGAGACACGGCCCAGACUCCUACGGGAGGCAGCAGUGGGGAAUAUUGGACAAUGGGGGGAACCCUGAUCCAGCCAUGCCGCGUGUGUGAAGAAGGCCUUAUGGUUGUAAAGCACUUUAAGCGAGGAGGAGGCUACUGAGACUAAUACUCUUGGAUAGUGGACGUUACUCGCAGAAUAAGCACCGGCUAACUCUGUGCCAGCAGCCGCGGUAAUACAGAGGGUGCGAGCGUUAAUCGGAUUUACUGGGCGUAAAGCGUGCGUAGGCGGCUUUUUAAGUCGGAUGUGAAAUCCCCGAGCUUAACUUGGGAAUUGCAUUCGAUACUGGGAAGCUAGAGUAUGGGAGAGGAUGGUAGAGUUCCAGGUGUAGCGGUGAAAUGCGUAGAGAUCUGGAGGAAUACCGAUGGCGAAGGCAGCCAUCUGGCCUAAUACUGACGCUGAGGUACGAAAGCAUGGGGAGCAAAACAGGAUUAGAUACCCUGGUAGUCCAUGCCGUAAACGAUGUCUACUA